rnacentral:lncRNA from 1 species
AGCAAAAAUUGAUGUUUCUUUUUGCACAGAAGUACUCCUGGGCCAAGCAUUUGAAGCUAUUUGGUAGUUGUUACUGACCUCUUCAAGUGUGUUAGAGCUAGAUGGCAAACAUGCUUACUGGAUGAGAAGGCUCCAGUGUCUUGCUGGAACCAUGAGACUACCCUAACCCUACCUGUUAGGGAACUCAAUUUGCACAUCGUCACUUCAGCACACAAACAGAAUAGAAUGAGAUAGUGUAUCACUCUGUCAUCCAGGCUGGAAUGCAGUGGUGUGAUGGUAGCUCACUGUGGCUUCCAUCUCCUGGGCUCAAGUGAUCCUCCUGCCUCAGCCUCCAGAGUAGCUGAGAUUACAAGCAGGAGCCACUAUUCCUGGUUCUCUCCCAUUUCUAAAAUCACUGAUACUGUUCUUUAAUUAUAGCAAUCCCACUCCUGCUUCCAUCCCCGACCCAAUUUCUGACUUUGCCUCAGAAUCCAUGUCCAUAUGACUCCCCAUUUUCCUAAUCCCCAAAUUACAGGUAACCACAACUGAAUAAAUAAGUUACAUCAUGGAAAACAAUUCUUUUAGUUUAUAAACAUGUAUCAGAUAAAAGACAGCUAAUCUUCAAAAGGAAAAUUUUACACAAUGCUUGGACACACAUUAG